AAUGCAACAUGGAGGGUCUUUUGAUGCUCACUCCUCUCGGGGUAGUUCCGCGAGCUUCUUGUGCCGGGGAUAAGGAGAGGUACAAGAAGUGAUGACCCGUCUACCUGGCUGAACCCACCCUUUGUCUAUGUGUACCUUUUGUUGCUUUCUCGGCGGGGACGCUCGCCGGCUGAAAGCCAAAUCAAACCCAUUUUUUGCAGUAGAAAUCACUUCUGAUGUGGGCAAAAUUUAUUUA
rnacentral:misc_RNA from 1 species